AUUGAACGCUGGCGGCAGGCCUAACACAUGCAAGUCGAACGGUAACAGGAAGCAGCUUGCUGCUUUGCUGACGAGUGGCGGACGGGUGAGUAAUGUCUGGGAAACUGCCCGAUGGAGGGGGAUAACUACUGGAAACGGUAGCUAAUACCGCAUGACGUCGCAAGACCAAAGAGGGGGACCUUAGGGCCUCUUGCCAUCGGAUGUGCCCAGAUGGGAUUAGCUAGUAGGUGGGGUAACGGCUCACCUAGGCGACGAUCCCUAGCUGGUCUGAGAGGAUGACCAGCCACACUGGAACUGAGACACGGUCCAGACUCCUACGGGAGGCAGCAGUGGGGAAUAUUGCACAAUGGGCGCAAGCCUGAUGCAGCCAUGCCGCGUGUAUGAAGAAGGCCUUCGGGUUGUAAAGUACUUUCAGCGGGGAGGAAGGGAGUAAAGUUAAUACCUUUGCUCAUUGACGUUACCCGCAGAAGAAGCACCGGCUAACUCCGUG
rnacentral:rRNA from 1 species